CCUACGGGGGGCAGCAGUGGGGAAUAUUGCACAAUGGGCGCAAGCCUGAUGCAGCCAUGCCGCGUGUGUGAAGAAGGCCUUCGGGUUGUAAAGCACUUUCAGCGGGGAGGAAGGCGGUGAGGUUAAUAACCUCAUCGAUUGACGUUACCCGCAGAAGAAGCACCGGCUAACUCCGUGCCAGCAGCCGCGGUAAUACGGAGGGUGCAAGCGUUAAUCGGAAUUACUGGACGUAAAGCGCACGCAGGCGGUCUGUCAAGUCGGAUGUGAAAUCCCCGGGCUCAACCUGGGAACUGCAUUCGAAACUGGCAGGCUAGAGUCUUGUAGAGGGGGGUAGAAUUCCAGGUGUAGCGGUGAAAUGCGUAGAGAUCUGGAGGAAUACCGGUGGCGAAGGCGGCCCCCUGGACAAAGACUGACGCUCAGGUGCGAAAGCGUGGGGAGCAAACAGGAUUAGAUACCCGAGUAGUC
rnacentral:rRNA from 1 species